UAGUCCACGCUGUAAACGAUGAGUACUAGCUGUUGGUUAGCAUGACUAAUCAGUAGCGGAGCAAACGCAUUAAGUACUCCGCCUGGGGAUUACGGCCGCAAGGCUAAAGCUCAAAGGAAUUGACGGGGGCCCGCACAAGCGGUGGAGCAUGUGGUUUAAUUCGAUGCAACGCGAAAAACCUUACCUACCCUUGACAUCCGCAGAAUGCUGUAGAGAUAUAGUAGUGCCUUCGGGAAUUGCGGGACAGGUGCUGCAUGGCUGUCGUCAGCUCGUGUCGUGAGAUGUUGGGUUAAGUCCCGUAACGAGCGCAACCCUUGUCUUUAGUUGCCAUCAUUCAGUUGGGCACUCUAAAGAGACUGCCGGUGACAAACCGGAGGAAGGUAAGGAUGACGUCAAGUCAGCAUGCCCCUUACGCCCUGGGCUACACACGUGCUACAAUGGUCGUGACAAAGGGUCGCUAAUCUGCAAAGACAUGCUAAUCUCAUAAACACGG
rnacentral:rRNA from 1 species